rnacentral:lncRNA from 1 species
CACAAGAAUGUAAACUGUAGAACAACAGGUUACUCAUUGAUUGUCUAAAGUUAACAGGAAAGUUUGUUCUAAAUCAAAAUUGUUCGAAAGCCGAUCCAUUCAUUCCUUUUCCACUUGGGGGAGAAGGACGCUAAAAACAAAACAAAUUGUUCAAGACACCACAAAGGGAGAAAACAAAACAAUACAGAACAAUGAUAAUGAGAUAUGAUAAUGGGAAAGGGCAUUGAUGUUUGAGACCAAAACUCAAACUUUAAAGCCUCUGCUCUUCCUUUUUCCUCUAGCGGCUUCAACCUUUCGUGAUUUUUUCCCACGGACAUAGGGCUUAGUGUUGCUGUGUGGCACACCAGGAGCUCGUCCGAAGUGCUUGACAGCCUCACGAGCAUUUUUGGGACCUCUAAGAAGAACCUGAAACAUUAAUACAAAAAAAAAAUGUCAUUCCUCCUAUGUAUGUUGUCUUAAUUUGCAAAGAGUGGAAUAUGAAACUAGAUAAUUUUAUCCUUCCUCCUAAAGUUGUAACAAAACUAGGAACAGAAAAGAAGCAAUAACCAAAAUUGUUGUAAUUUGCCACAAUCGAUAGGUAUAAAAGUCGAUAAACAAAUAAUACAUACUAAUGCAAAAUUAAAACAGGAAGUACACUAGAUUUGUGGUAAGCAUAUUAUUUAAUAGGCUGUAUUGGAACAGGUAGUAUAACUGUUAUAAGGUGAAAAUAAACAAGAACAUAUGGUGAAAUUAUAAAGAAAGUGAAGUAACCGCAAGUAACAGCGUUGACCAGUAUUUCAAAACAAAGUAAAACAAAAACACAGGAUUCCUACACAUUUAUCAUUCUAUUCAUUUUGACUUUCAUAAAGGUGACAAUAAGAUAGCAGUGAAAACAUGACUUCUCACAAAUGAUCUACUAAAAAAACACAAUUGCUAAAUGUCUAUAAAUGAAAGGACAGUGAAAAAAGAAGCUCUAAGAGCCAGCUGUUAGACAAAAGAAAAAAAGAAGUUCUACAUGAAGUUUGGUUUGAAAGAGAAGACUGUUAAAAACUUAUAAUCUUUGCACACAUGAACUAAAGCCAACUUCCAAAUUUAUAAAAUUACUGCAAUUUUUAUAAAAUUAUAACACUUAGAAUAACAAUAAGCAAACAAGAGUAGUAUUAAAAUACAUACCGUGUUCUGGCCUAAAGGAGCUCUAAGAGCCAGCUGAUCAAAGGUGAGGCACUCCCCACCAGCCUUCUCAAUUCUAGCCCUGGCCUUUUCGGUGAACCUUAGAGCAGUUACCUUAAUUGCAGGUACUUCAUAAACCCUAAUAUCAUCUGUCACGGCACCAACAACUACAGCAAUCUUACCCUCCUAAUACCAGAAAGAAAGAAAAAUAAAGUAAACAAUAUGAUUAUAUUUAAUAAUUAUUUUAAAUAUCAAUGCUAUCUCUUCGUCAACCAAUUAAAACCUGGUUGGAUUUAGCUAAAUUGAACGUAUCUAAAAGCAUAUGUGCAGAUGAAAAACAUCUUAGAAGAAUUUGUAAAAACAGCCUGUAACAUGGGCCUGUUUGGAUUCGCUUAUUUGAUCUAAUCGUCAACAUACACAAGUACUGUGUGAUUGUUUGGAAAAACUUGUGACAACAGCUUCUGACAUUGUUGAUAAGCUGUUUUCAGCUUAAUUUUGCAAGUUCUUGGAGAUAACUUAUGAAAACAAUACACGAAAAUAAUUUAUAUCAUGACUAGUGCAGACUGGGCCCAUUUUUAUAAGCUAUUGCAUCACAUUUUCAGAAGUCUAAAUGCUAACUUUAAGAAAACAACUUAUAACUUACGAAAAAAUUGACUUUAUGUUAACCUUUGUUAUAAAAACAGCUUAUAAAAUAAACAGUAACAUGAUUCGCACUUAAUUAAGCGAUUAUAUACCUUUCCUUUGGUGUAACGAAUCAACCUAGACAGUGAUAAAGGUGGCUUGUUGACUUUGCUCAUGAAAAGCCUCUUAAGGAUAACCUUAUUGAAAUUACUUUCAGUCCUUCGAACAAGGAAACGGUAUAGCUGAAAAACACAUAACAAACAAAAAAAAAAAACAAUACGAUUCAAAUACAAAUCCAUUAUUCAGAAUCACAGUAACAAGUGAAGUAACAGUAGAAAAUGCAUGAAGGUUUACCUUAACGAGAAGCUUGAGGUAGAUAUCAUUGGAUUUUGGUGCUGUACGUUUAGUCUUCUUGGACUUACCUCCUGCCUUCAAAUCGAUACCC